GAGUUUGAUCCUGGCUCAGGAUGAACGCUGGCGGCGUGCUUAACACAUGCAAGUCGAACGAAGCACUUUAUUUGAUUUCCUUCGGGACUGAUUAUUUUGUGACUGAGUGGCGGACGGGUGAGUAACGCGUGGGUAACCUGCCUCAUACAGGGGGAUAACAGUUAGAAAUGACUGCUAAUACCGCAUAAGACCACAGCACCGCAUGGUGCAGGGGUAAAAACUCCGGUGGUACAAGAUGGACCCGCGUUGGAUUAGCUAGUUGGCAGGGCAGCGGCCUACCAAGGCGACGAUCCAUAGCCGGCCUGAGAGGGUGAACGGCCACAUUGGGACUGAGACACGGCCCAGACUCCUACGGGAGGCAGCAGUGGGGAAUAUUGCACAAUGGGGGAAACCCUGAUGCAGCGACGCCGCGUGAAGGAAGAAGUAUCUCGGUAUGUAAACUUCUAUCAGCAGGGAAGAUAAUGACGGUACCUGACUAAGAAGCCCCGGCUAACUACGUGCCAGCAGCCGCGGUAAUUC
rnacentral:rRNA from 1 species